CUUCAUACAAUCAAAGUUACUGUUCACCAACUUUCUCUGACUUAAGCAUCAGAGAGUCUCCGUCGGAUAUCAAUCCGAUCUGUGUGGAUGCUGUUUUGCAGGUGCUCGAUAUCAGUGGCAGACGAUGGAGAGUUGGCCGCAAUAGAUUGACGCGCCAGGUAGGGGGGCAGGAUCAUACAUAAUGGCAAAAAUCAAAACCUAGCAUUCGACUACAAUCAGAUCGAUGAGGUACUCUUUCC
rnacentral:lncRNA from 1 species